rnacentral:rRNA from 1 species
UACAGAGGUGGCAAGCGUUGUUCGGAAUUACUGGGCGUAAAGCGUGCGCAGGCGGUCUGCUAAGAGAGAUGUGAAAUCCCCGGGCUUAACCUGGGAACUGCGUUUCUAACUGGCAGGCUUGAGUGUGGCAGAGGGGGGGUGGAAUUCCACGUGUAGCAGUGAAAUGCGUAGAGAUGUGGAGGAACACCGAUGGCGAAGGCAGCCCCCUGGGCUAACACUGACGCCUCAUGCACGAAAGCGUGGGGAGCAAACAGG